GACGAACGCUGGCGGCGUGCUUAACACAUGCAAGUCGAACGGAAAGGCCCUGCUUUUGUGGGGUGCUCGAGUGGCGAACGGGUGAGUAACACGUGAGUAACCUGCCCUUGACUUUGGGAUAACUUCAGGAAACUGGGUCUAAUACCGGAUAGGAGCUCCUGCUGCAUGGUGGGGGUUGGAAAGUUUCGGCGGUUGGGGAUGGACUCGCGGCUUAUCAGCUUGUUGGUGGGGUAGUGGCUUACCAAGGCUUUGACGGGUAGCCGGCCUGAGAGGGUGACCGGCCACAUUGGGACUGAGAUACGGACCAGACUCCUACGGGAGGCAGCAGUGGGGAAUAUUGCACAAUGGGCGGAAGCCUGAUGCAGCAACGCCGCGUGCGGGAUGACGGCCUUCGGGUUGUAAACCGCUUUCGCCUGUGACGAAGCGUGAGUGACGGUAAUGGGUAAAGAAGCACCGGCUAACUACGUG
rnacentral:rRNA from 1 species